rnacentral:lncRNA from 1 species
GGAGACCAGAAGGCCAAAAUCAAAAGUAUGGGCAGGCUUGAUUUCUUUAGAAGACUCCAGCGGAGAACUGUGUCUCCUUGCUUCUGAUUCUACAUCUCCAUCCAUGGGCCACUGUUUCAGCAACCUCAGCCAGUGCAACACAACCUCAGCCAAGAAGAGUAUGCAGAGAAAGGAGUCCCCUACCUGCCACAAAACUGUUGUCUGAAAACUGUCUCAUAUUGUCUCAAGUUGUCAUUCAUUGUGAAUUAGACCUGUUUAACAUGUAAUCUGCAACAUGCUUCACUGUCUAAUUUUCCAGAGCCCCUCAUAUAAGGAACUGUAUUAUUGGUAUAAUCAUCAUGGUGAAGAAGUUGGUAUGUGGGGGAGAGAUGACAGAAACAGAGAGUAAGUCAGAGCUGGCUGCCUGACAGAUAAAAAGGAAAUGACCAAAAAAAAAAAAAAAGACACAGAAGAAUACUUUGUUGUCCACACAGAAAAGGGAAGUGUAGGUAAGACAGCAGUAGACUAAGAUUCUUAAGACUCAAGUUCUAGUCUUAUUUAUUAGCUAUGGGAGGCCUUGAGG